rnacentral:rRNA from 1 species
CCCGAAGUCCGUGAGGUAACCGUAAGGAGCCAGCGGCCGAAGGUGGGGUUAGUAAUUGGGGUGAAGUCGUAACAAGGUAGCCGUAGGAGAACCUGCGGCUGGAUCACCUCCUUUCUAAGGAGU